rnacentral:rRNA from 1 species
AUUGAACGCUGGCGGCAGGCCUAACACAUGCAAGUCGAACGAGUGGCGGACGGGUGAGUAAUGUCUGGGAAACUGCCUGAUGGAGGGGGUUCACUACUGGAAACUGUUGCUAAUACCGCACACCAUCACCUGUGCCCAGAUGGGAUUAGCUUGUUGUUGGGGCAACGGCUCACCAAGGCGACGAUCCCUAGCUGGUCUGAGAGGAUGACCAGCCACACUGGAACGGAGACACGGUCCAGACUCCUACGGGAGGCAGCAGUGGGGAAUAUUGCACAAUGGGCGCAAGCCUGAUGCAGCCAUGCCGCGGGUGUGAAGAAGGCCUUCGGGUUGUAAAGGACUUUCAGCGGGGAGGCGUUACCCGCAGAAGAAGCACCGGCUAACUCCGUGCCAGCAGCCGCGGUAAUAC